rnacentral:rRNA from 1 species
CAGCCGCCGCGGUAAUACAGAGGGUGCGAGCGUUAAUCGGAUUUACUGGGCGUAAAGCGUGCGUAGGCGGCUUUUUAAGUCGGAUGUGAAAUCCCUGAGCUUAACUUAGGAAUUGCAUUCGAUACUGGGAAGCUAGAGUAUGGGAGAGGAUGGUAGAAUUCCAGGUGUAGCGGUGAAAUGCGUAGAGAUCUGGAGGAAUACCGAUGGCGAAGGCAGCCAUCUGGCCUAAUACUGACGCUGAGGUACGAAAGCAUGGGGAGCAAACAGGAUUAGAUACCCCCGUAGUCCCUGUCUAUUAUAC